UUUUGUUCUGCCAUUUAAUUUUUUAUGUGUAAAUCUGCGUGGCUUUAUUUCCUUCACAAAAUUCUGACACAAACUCUAGAAUCUCAGUAGCUUUCCGGCUUGUGAAACAUAGCGCACCUUUUCAAAAUAGAAAUCAGAGACAGAAUAACCUCUAUCCAUCGUUGCCAACAACUUCAAAUAGAACUCGAACCUGAUCGCUAACAUAGCACAUCCUCUUCGAUCAUCAAUGAACAUAAAAUGAAUUACAUAGUGAUAAUCUCACAACAAAAACCUCAGAACAGCCCAAACCUCAAAGCAUGCUCUGAGUCAGGUUUUCAAUUUCUCAAUCAAUGGACUGCAAUUCAGAAACCCACAUAUACUGUUGUACAUGGAGAAAUUAGAAGCGCAAUUGAAAUCAAAACUCUCUUAAUAUAUCCAUUCAUCUUCUCAGUAAUUUCAGGUAAAUUAACCUCCAUUUUUUUAUUUAAUCUCCUUCUACUUCUUUCCAAAAAAUUUGUUGAUUUCAUGCUGAAAAUUAUUGUUGCUGUUAUUGUUCAUUUUAACUUUUUCUUCUAUGGAGAAGAGAAUUAGUGAAUGUAUUAUAUCUUUGGGCAAAGUAGUUUCUAGGUCUUAUGCAAUUUAUGGAAUAGCAGACUGCUUUGCAAAUUUCAGGUUACUAUUAGGCAAGAGAAUAUCUGGUAUUAUGCAAGACUAAAUUUUAGGAAAGCAAAUGCUGCUAUUGUUGGUAUUAGACUAGCUUCUUUAGUUUCUUGGAGUUAGAACACUGAUUUGAAAUUGAAAAGAGAUGGAUGAAGUAGUUUGGAUGGUGUUGGUUCCAGUUCUCUCCAUCUUCGUAGUUGAGUGUUACAAUUUCAUAUGUGAUUUUUUUUCAUUUUUGCGCAUAUUUCUUCCAAAUCUCUCCACACUUCCAAAUUUUGUGGCUAAAAUUUAAAUUGUCUUCAAAAGGGGUAGAUAGAGAAGAAGAGAAUCGGUUAAGUUCUUAGAUCUUUUGGGCAAAAAACUAAUUUCUAGAUGACGCAAAACAAAUCAAAAUACUCUAAAAAAUAAGUUAAUUGGAUAUUAAUGAACACCUCAAUCACAAUAAACAAUUAAGAACUUUUGUUCUAUCAUGUUUUUUUGGUCUUUCUUUAGCUUAAUUUCUUGAUGUUCUUCAGUUAUACAAGUGGAAUAAAGGAUGAUUUUGGGGGGUUUCGAUCUUUCAAAUUGUACAGUAAAAUCCAUGCACAUUUUUAAUAGUGAGAAUGUUAAAAUGAACAAUGCAAUACAUGUCACUUACUGGAGUAAUUUUGGAUAUUUUCUAGCUUUUUCUGUAGUUGCCUAUUAUUGGUACUUUUCUAUUUUUCUUUGUUUUAUUUUGCUUAUAGGUUUUGCUUCAUUGUGGUAAUUGUUUGUUCAUGCGUUUUUGUAGCAUUUCAGUGUGUGGUAAAUAUCGCUCUUCUACUGGCUUUCUUUUAUUUUUUCCCUCUUGGCUUUUUUCAUUCAACUAAAACAUCUUCCAAAGAAUUUUAAGGAAAAUAGUGCAGGGGCAUAGAAUUUGGCAAAAUGGACAGUUGACAGUUACAAUGGUGACAAUUAUAAGGAAUAUAUUUGUAAGUUCAUGUGCAAAAGCAUAGAGAAAGUCACAGUUAUGGUGCUUUCCCUAUGGAUGAACAUGAUUCUCCCUUUGGGGUGAAUUGCUGCAAUUUACAGGAGAAGGUGUGCAAUGAUGGAAACGUCUGCCUGGUCUAUAUGAACACAAUCUCAGGUCGGUCAAUGGAAUUUCAAGAUUUUUAUUCUAAGAUUAAUAUCAAUACUUUUUGUAUUUCAAUUGAUCAUGCACAUAGAUGAAACAACUAACUUUUUGAGGUCAACUGAUAUAUUGUGAUCAAUUGAAAUACAAAAAGUAGAAGAUAGAAGGAGACACCAAGGCCUGCGGAGUAAACACACAAUUUUUCUAUAUGAGUAAACACAUUGGUAGAGCUUUUUCUAAAAUAGUAAAUGUAAACUCUCCCCCUACAAUAACAAGAACUUUUGGCUCACUUAUCGUUUAUUUUUUAUAUAUAUUAUAUUAUCCUGUUGAUAACUUUUGAUUUAGGAUGCAAGCUAUAGUUUAAUUGAGGAACUAAGCUCUUCCGCGAGAAUUUAGAAGUUUUGGUUGUAAGGCUACGGGAAUGAGAAACUUCAGAUUUUA